UUCUAACUGUGUUGCUGCUUGUGUGGAAAACAAGGCUGAAAAAUGGGUGUGGAAGAGAACGGUGGCUGCCAAGGACAUGUGCUAUUUGCAGACACAAGAGGAAUAACACCCUGGUUGAGCUCUCAAGUGAAAUAAGGAUAACAACACCUGACUCACAUGGUUAGGGUCAGGAUUACAUGGGAUGGCCUACAUAAAAGUGCCAGGCACAUCACAGGUGCAGGGAAAUAUCAGUUCCUUUCUUCGUCUCCUCUGGACCCCACGAGACAGCUCCCUGAAGGCUGAUCGUCUCUCUCCCACUAAAUCAGGAUAGAGAAGAGGGUUUCCUCCCUGUGAGAGCUUCAAUUAUCUCCUUUCACUGGACAUGGCUAACUCUUCGGGAAGUGCUAAACUCUCACAGUAAAGUAAAACAGGGGUUAAAGGCAAAUGUUUAACCAAUCAUGUUCAAAUACAAGCUAACAGAUGAAGAAUUUUAAGCUCAAAGAGUCAAAUACUCUGCAUUCCUGAGAAAUCUUCAGUUUCUUAUUCUUGGAAAUGUUUUCACAUUGCAUUUUGCUGCCACAGCCAAAUGGACCCUGCCUAGGAGACCUGGAGGCCACAGCCAAGUUCCCUUGUACACCAUCCCUUUCUCUGAAGCUCCAGCUAGACCUCCAGUGGGAUCAGGAACUUCUCAUUGGGCUAUCACCUGGACCACCUGACUGGCCCUGUCCUGCCACUCACGGCAGCCACAGUGAUCUGUUAAAAUGUAAGUCAGUUCCUAUCACUUGUCUGCUUGAAACUCUCCAGUGGUUUUCCAUCACACUUAAAAGGAAACCCAAAUUCCAGACUCUGAGGUGCAAGACCUUCAGGAUGUGCUCCCUGGCUUCCUGCUGA
rnacentral:lncRNA from 1 species